rnacentral:rRNA from 1 species
GAAUAUUGGGCAAUGGAGGCGACUCUGACCCAGCCAUGCCGCGUGUAGGAAGACUGCCCUAUGGGUUGUAAACUACUUUUAUACAGGACGAAACUGCACUACGAGGUGGUUCUUGACGGUACUGUAAGAAUAAGGACCGGCUAACUCCGUGCCAGCCGCCGCGGUAAUACGGAGGGUGCAAGCGUUAUCCGGAAUCAUUGGGUUUAAAGGGUCCGUAGGCGGACUAAUAAGUCAGGGGUGAAAUACAACAGCUUAACUGUUGAACUGCCUUUGAUACUGUUAGUCUUGAAUUAUAUGGAAGUAGAUAGAAUGUGUAGUGUAGCGGUGAAAUGCUUAGAGAUUACACAGAAUACCGAUUGCGAAGGCAGUCUACUACGUAUAUAUUGACGCUAAUGGACGAAAGCGUGGGGAGCGAACAGGAUUAGAUACCCUGGUAGUCCACGCCGUAAACGAUGGACACUAGUUGUUGGAUUUAUUCAGUGACUAAGCGAAAGUGAUAAGUGUCCCACCUGGGGAGUACGAUCGCAAGAUUGAAACUCAAAGGAAUUGAC